CCGAAUCCUGACACAGGGAGGUAGUGACAAGAAAUAACAAUACAGGGCUACUUCUAGUCUUGUAAUUGGAAUGAGUACAACUUACAUCUCUUCACGAGGAUCAAUUGGAGGGCAAGUCUGGUGCCAGCAGCCGCGGUAAUUCCAGCUCCAAUAGCGUAUAUUAAAGUUGUUGCAGUUAAAAAGCUCGUAGUCGGAUUUCGGGGCGGGCCGAGCGGUCUGCCGAUGGGUAUGCACUGUUCGGCGCGUCCUUCUUUCCGGAGACUAGUUCUACUCUUAACUGAGCGGGACUGGGAGACGGAUCGUUUACUUUGAAAAAAUCAGAGUGUUUCAAGCAGGCAGCUCGCUCUUGCAUGGAUUAGCAUGGGAUAAUGAAAUAGGACUCUGGUGCUAUUUUGUUGGUUUCGAACACCGGAGUAAUGAUUAACAGGGACAGUCA
rnacentral:rRNA from 1 species